GACGAACCGUGCGAACGUUGUUCGGAAUCACUGGGCUUAAAGGGCGCGUAGGCGGGCCAUCAAGUCAGGGGUGAAAUACCUCAGCUUAACUGAGGAACAGCUUUUGAUACUGGUGGCCUCGAGGGGGGUAGGGGCAUGCGGAACUUCCGGUGGAGCGGUGAAAUGCGUAGAUAUCGGAAGGAACGCCGGUGGCGAAAGCGGCGUGCUGGACCCUUUCUGACGCUGAGGCGCGAAAGCCAGGGGAGCAAACGGG
rnacentral:rRNA from 1 species